GGCCCCGCGCGCACAACCUGGAGCUGAGCCUUGUCACAGGACUAUUUAUCUGGCCCGCUCGGAGUAAACCACCCCGGGCAAAGAAGAGGGGGAUGGAAAGGGGGGCAAGAGGACUUGAAGCCAAGCCACAUAGAUCGAUGUUAAGCAAAAGACCCAAAUCACCAGGCUGUCCUAGUUUUCUAAUCUACAAAAUAAACGAUCUUUCCAUGAGGAAGAGGAAGUACAUGAGCCCUUGCCUAGGGCAGAGUCUGGCACAUGGGAGGUUUCAGUCUCAAAGGAGAACUUGAGGAUGUUGGAAGCAGAACUAGUGGUCUGGAACUGAACCUUCAAUAUUUCUGAGAUUGCACACUCUGGAGGAAGCUAGCUGCCACGCCUUGAGGACAUGAAGGAUCUGAGAAGAGGAACUACAGUCUCUUGUAACAACCAGAACUGACUUACCAUGCAGGCUGCUGGAAGUAUUUCCACUACUCUCAGUUCCCAAGGAUCUGGUGGCUGGCUUUCUCACUUUCUUUGUCUCUCUCUCUCUCUCUUU